rnacentral:rRNA from 1 species
GAUGAACGCUAGCGGCAGGCCUAACACAUGCAAGUCGAGGGAGAAGCCCUUUCGGGGGCCGAAACCGGCGCACGGGUGCGUAACGCGUAUGCAACCUACCUUUCACAGGGGGAUAGCCCGAAGAAAUUUGGAUUAAUACCCCAUAAUAUUAUUGGAUGGCAUCAUUUGAUAAUUAAAACUGCGGUGGUGAAAGAUGGGCAUGCGUCCUAUUAGCUAGUUGGAGUGGUAACGGCACCCCAAGGCUACGAUAGGUAGGGGUCCUGAGAGGGAGAUCCCCCACACUGGUACUGAGACAGGGACCAGACUACUACGGGAGGCAGCAGUGAGGAAUAUUGGUCAAUGGUCGGAAGACUGAACCAGCCAUGCCGCGUGCAGGAAGAAUGCCUUAUGGGUUGUAAACUGCUUUUAUAUGGGAAGAAUAAGGUGUACGUGUACAUUGAUGACGGUACCAUAUGAAUAAGCAUCGGCUAACUCCGUG